AUAUGACCUAGCAUUUACCUAAAACUUCCGGGUAAAUUAGUAUAUGAAUAUCCCGAGCUGCGGCAAACGCAUACAAAAUAAAUUAUCACCACAGGGAAAGAACUUGACUAAUAUAUAAAUUAUCUCGGGAUGAGUAAAAUGUCUGUCACACCACUUUUAGUAUUGGUACUUGUGUUGGCCACGGCAAUAGGGAAAGUGGCGCCAUGUGAUCCUCCUUCUGGAAGGACAAACGGUUGCAGCCCUAAAGGGUUACCUUACCCCUAUAAAAAGUUUUUCAGGCCAGAGUGUAACAAACAUGAUACCUGCUAUGCCUGUGGCGACGACAAUGGGAUGUCCAGAAAAGUAUGUGAUGACACAUUUCUCGACAACCUCGAAUGGCGCUGCAGAACAGAUCCAGAACAGAGGGACGACCCAGAAAAAUGUCUUAGUUGGGCGAAAAUAAUGUACAAUUCUGUUCGUUUGCUAGGUAUAUUUCGCUAUAAAAUCCCAUCGCUAGGCUGGUGCGAUGAAGACUGGGUUGAUAGUUGCCUAUAAAAAUGCAUUCACGGCUUCACUAAAGAUUUGAUGUUACCCUACUUGCUUCCAGUCAAACAUAAAUUGCCUUCAUGUAGACGAACAUUUAUAUAACAACACUGUAACAGUACGAGACCACCAACACGAAAAAUUGUGUCGCAAAGCCGAAUAUUGACAUACUGAGUUCUUAAAUACCUGAAACUUGUGUUUCAUAUCUAAUCUAUAUAGUUUUGUUGUCACUAAAUUAUUUCGAUAACGAUAGAAGUCAAACAAAGCUUUGUUUUGUUAUGUUUACUAGAGUACUUACAUUGUAUAUACACAAACGAUUAUCUGUAUAUCUUUCAUUUGAAAAUUUAUGAAAAGUUUGGUUAUUUUUUAUUGUUACUUUACAACAGUUUAUGCCUCUGUAAAUCAGAAAUGUACAUUAAAAUGCAUUGAAGAAAUGAUAUACUGUUGAAUUUUCAACGCCAGCUAGUUACAAGCUCUGCUUUCAGUUUCUAUAUAUAUUUAUCAGCUGUAUUGUGUAUUGUAACUUAAUGACACUUUUUAUAAUGCAUACAAUUUGUUUUAUGUCAUUCGUAUAUAAGUUAGUCACUUAACUAUCAUUGGUUAUUUCUAGCCACAACGAACUGAACCCAGCCGUACAAAUAAAAUGACUUUCGACUUACCCAUUGCCAUGUCAUGUACACAGCUGUACACUCGUCAGAUGUUUACAAACACGCGGUGCCCUAAUCCGUUACUGUUUGAUCUAUAUAUGUCCGUAUAUGCGUGAUAUAGUCCAUGCAUGUAAAACCAAUCAUGAUUUUUCCCAAGUCUUAUAUGUAAAUCCACAAUCGCAGGAUAUAUAUAAUCACAUGUGUCACAUUCUACAUUCUGAAAAAAAAAAAACAUUCCAUAACUCUAAGCACACAUGUAAAUUACACACCUUGACCUGAAUUAACCACAUGACCUAUUUUACUCUCAUGUCAGUUAAUCAUGUUUCCUCCCACGCACAGUCUAUAGUCUAUUUCAAUUACCUAAUACUUCUGUCCCUGAUUGACUCGUCCCGGGUUAAAGUUUAAUAACGAAGGUUAAUAAGGUCAUCUGGGCAUUCACCUCCCCCCCACCCCCCACCACCCCCACACACACACCCUGCCUCUCGCGUCAACAACCUCUCCUAUCUUUUGAAAUGUGACCAUGGAAAUUUUUUAAGGUCACUGUUUAUAAUGAAAUAGAAAAAAAUGUUCGCUUACUUAUUUUCUUAGAAAUACCAUGUCGUGUGAAAAUUUGUAAUAAUUCUUUUAUGUCUGUAUACUCACAUAUACUUGCAUAUGUAACUUGAGUUAAUAAAGUUAUGUUAUGUUA
rnacentral:lncRNA from 1 species